rfam:Ailuropoda melanoleuca scaffold320_1, whole genome shotgun sequence.
ACCUGACUGGCUCAGUCAGAAGAGUGUGUGACUCUUGAUCUCAGGGUUGUGAGUUCAAGCCCCACAUUGGGUG